rnacentral:misc_RNA from 1 species
AAGGUGAGCCGAAAUUCGUAACGUCGAAGCGAGGCAACAAAAUGAUUCAGUUGGAUGGCUAUAAUUUCUGUUUGCACAAACGUAGCAAAGAUCCUAAAUUGAGAUGGGUCUGCAGCAACUGCGGGAGAGGAUGUCGAGCGUCUAUGAUUACUGUGGACAAUGUCAUAAUUAAGGAUCCAUUUUAUAAAGUCGUCUAGAGGUAAUGAGAUGCUACAGAUAGGAGAUUUUAAGUACUGUCUUCAUAGAAAUUUCUCAACGGGAGUGAAAAAACGAUGGGUGUGCUCCAAGUCCCGAGCCUCGCUGAGGUGUAACGCUGCCGUCUAUACUAUUGACAACAUUAUUGUUAAAUGUAAAAAUGAACACAAUCAUAGUUAGGUGUAUAAACGUAUUACUUAUGACUAAGGAUCUUUAUUUUCACAUUAGAAUUACAAUUACUGAAAAACAUAACAAAACAAUAACGAAAAAUAUAUACUAAAAUGCGGGAAGAACUAAAGACGUUUUUAUUUUUGAAUUGUUUUAAAAGAAUUAAUUAAUAAAUAAAAGUCUUGACCAUAAACUGUAAUAUA